rnacentral:rRNA from 1 species
GACAGAGGGUGCAAACGUUGUUCGGAAUUACUGGGCGUAAAGCGCGUGUAGGCGGCCAUCUAAGUCGGGCGUGAAAUCCCACGGCUCAACCGUGGAAGUGCACUCGAAACUGGAUGGCUAGAGUCCUGGAGAGGAAGGUGGAAUGCUUGGUGUAGAGGUGAAAUUCGUAGAUAUCAAGCGGAACACCGGUGGCGAAGGCGGCCUGCUGGGCAGUUUGCUGACACUGAGGCGCGACAGCGUGGGGAGCAAACAGG